GUGUACUGAGGACAACAGUUAGGUGGAAAUUUUCACUAAUGAGAAAUUGAUUGAAAAAGCAGCAGAGAGCCAGUUAAACAGGAACUGAGAACUAAGGAAGUGAAACAUUUGUGGAGGAGUAAUUUGGGAAACAGAGACCAGCACAAAUGAAACUCCCAGAAUGACAGUAAUGCAGCAGGAAGAUUAGCCCUGAAGUCACAUCCACUGCCAAUUCUUCUCCUUUUGCUGAGGAAGAUUGGCCUCAGCCAACAUCUGUGCCCAUCUUCCUCUACUUUAUAUGUGGGAUGCCUGCCACAGCAUGGCUUGUUAAGCAGUGUGUAGGUCCGUGCCCGGGAUCCAAACCUGUGGACCCUGGGCCGCUGAAGCAGAGCGCAUGAACUUAACAACCUCGCCACUGGGCUGGCCCCUGCUUU
rnacentral:lncRNA from 1 species